CAUGAGUUCAAAACCAGCCUCAGCAAUGGCAAGGCACUAAGCAACUCAGUGAGACCCUGUCUCUAAAUAAAAUACAAAAUAGGGCUGGGAUGUGGCUCAGUGGUUAAGUAUCCCCGAGUUCAAACCCCAGUACCCCCGCCAAAAAAAAUUAGGGAUAAUAGAAACAUAUCUCAACAUUAUAAAAGCUAUAUAUAUUAAGACCAAGGUCAACAUCAUUCUAAAUGGGAGAAAAGUUGAAAGCAUUCCCUCUAAAAACUGGAACACAACAGGGAUGCCCUCUUUCACCACUCUUAUUUAACACGGUCUUUGAAAAUCUGGCCAGAGCAAUUAGACAGAUAAAAGAAAUUAAAGGGAUAUGGAUAGGAAAAGAAGAACUCAAACUAUCACUAUUUGCCAACAACAUGAAUCUAUACUUAGAAGAUCUGAAAAAUUCUAUCAGAAAACUUCUAGAACUAAUAAAUGAAUUCAGCAAAGUAGCAGGAUAUAAAACCAAUACCCAUAAAUCAAAUGCAUUUCUGUAUAUCAGUAAUAAAUCCUCUGAUAGAGAAACUAGGAAAACAACCCCAUUUACAAUAGCCUCAAAAAAAAUAUAAAGUACUUGGGAAUCAACAAAAGAGGUGAAAGACCUCUUCAAUGAAAACUACAGAACAUUAAAAAAAGAAAUUAAAGAAGACCUUAGAAGAUGGAAAGAUCUACCUUGUUCUUGGAUAGGCAGAAUUAAUAUUGUGUCAAGAUAACCAUUUAAAUUCAAUUUAAAUGCAAUUCCAAUCAAAAUCCCAAUGAUAUUCCUUAUAGAAAUAGAAAUAGCAAUCAUGAAAUUCAUCUGAAAACAUUAGACUCAGCCAAAGCAAUCCUUAGCAAGAAGAGUGAAGCAGGUGGCAUCACAAUACCAGACCUUAAACUAUACUGCAGAGCAACAAAAACAAAAAUAGCAUGGUAUUGGCAGCAACAUAGACUGGUAGACCAAUGGCACAGAAUAGAGGACACAGAGACAAACCCACAUAAAUACAGUUAUCUCAUACUAGACAAAGGUGCCAAAAACAUACAUUGGAGAAAAAAAUAGCCUCUUCAACAAAUGGUGCUGGGAAAACUAGAAAUCCAUAUGCAGCAAAAUGAAAUUAAGCCCCUAUCUCUCAUCAUGCACAAAACUCAACUCAAAGUGGAUCAAGGACUAGGAAUUAGACCAGAAACCCUACACCUAAUUGAAGAAAAAGUAGGCCUAAAUCUUCAUCAUGUCAGACUAGGCCCCAACUUCCU
rnacentral:lncRNA from 1 species